rnacentral:rRNA from 1 species
GCCUAUGGCCAUGCCACCCUGAACACGCCCUAUCUCGUCUGAUCUCAGAAGCUAAGCAGAGCUGGGCCCGGUUAGUACUUGGAUGGAGGAGCCAGGUGCUGUAGGCA